GACGAACGCUGGCGGCGUGCUUAACACAUGCAAGUCGAACGGAAAGGCCCUGCUGUUGUGGGGUGCUCGAGUGGCGAACGGGUGAGUAACACGUGAGUAACCUGCCCUUGACUUUGGGAUAACGUCAGGAAACUGGGGCUAAUACCGGAUAGGAGCUCCUGCUGCAUGGUGGGGGUUGGAAAGUUUCGGCGGUUGGGGAUGGACUCGCGGCUUAUCAGCUUGUUGGUGGGGUAGUGGCUUACCAAGGCUUUGACGGGUAGCCGGCCUGAGAGGGUGACCGGCCACAUUGGGACUGAGAUACGGCCCAGACUCCUACGGGAGGCAGCAGUGGGGAAUAUUGCACAAUGGGCGGAAGCCUGAUGCAGCAACGCCGCGUGCGGGAUGACGGCCUUCGGGUUGUAAACCGCUUUCGCCUGUGACGAAGCGUGAGUGACGGUAAUGGGUAAAGAAGCACCGGCUAACUACGUG
rnacentral:rRNA from 1 species